rnacentral:rRNA from 1 species
CCGUUAAUGGGUGAUUGCGUGCCUUUUGUUGAAUGAUCCGGCGAGUUACGUUUUGUUGCAUGGUUAAGCGGAAAUAGCGGAGCCGUAGCGUAAGCGAGUCUGUAUUGGGCGCAUAUGUUACAGGUCGUUGACCCGAAACCAGGUGAUCUACCCAUGUCCAGGAUGAUGGUUAGGUAUUUCUUACUGGUGGUCCGAACCCACGCUCGUUGAUAUGUGAGGGGUUGAGGUGUGGGU